GAUCAACAGAUAUAUCCAUUGCGCACUGUUCAAGAAAUCCAUCAUGUGAAACUGUACAAGACUGAUUUUCAGAGUUUCCCAAAACAUUCCCCGAAGCAUCAAACCCUUCCAACUGGCCACCAUCAUCAGAUGCCAACAACUCUGUAAAUGAGAAAUACGUCUGCGGUUCAAACUCCAUAUCCUCAUAGUUCAGACCUUCAUAGUCAAACAUCACCUCGCCUUCAAGGCCAUUAGAGGAAACAUCCCACUCCGCACAAGAAGGUAACUCCUCUUUAGGGUUCAUGAGGUUAUUCCUAUCAACAGGCACAGAUGAUUCUGUGUGAUGGUUGUUCUCAAACAUACCUUCAGCAUUGAAUUGAGGCUUUGUAUGCCUUCUGACUGGUAGUUUCUGUGGGCCCUGUCCAGCAGCAUUCCAUUCAAGCUCUGCUCUAGAAUUGUCCUCCGUAAUUUGUUCAACUCUUGAAACAGAGAAAAGCAGAGGAUCAUCAUCCUGUACCAACACUUCCUCCAUGGGAUAAAUUGGAGUAGUGGGCUCACACACUUUAGAUUCGGCAACAGUUCCAGAAUCAUAGCCAACUCCUAUAUAUCCUUUCUUCAACACCCUCUCACAUGGCUUAUGGCUCACUGGCUUCUCACCUUCAGGGAUAUCAUAAGGACACUUGGGUGAUUUUAUUCUACGACACCUGCAGCAUUUGAAGCCCACCACAUUUGAAAGUUUUGACUCGUCAAGUCCCACAGCUUCAGCAUGAAACCAACUGUUGCAAGUUUCACAAUGGAUAUACAUCAGAUCACGAUUAUAUGCCUUUUUGCAAAGGUUACAUACAGGCUUCAACCUCUCUGAAUUGCCCUUAAAAAGAAUGUUCUCACGCCUGAAAUCAAUUCCUGUGUCAGUGUUCUUUUUCUUCCAAAUGACACCCCAACUACAUAAUCUACUUCUGUUUUUCGUUGCCAGACUAGAAGCAGUAGUUUGUUUCAUCUCAGAGCUACUCUCCUGGGUUCUGAUAGAUAUUAAUGGUUGAUUACGAAAUUUAAUCCUUGUGAUUUUGGUGGCUGUCUGUAUAUUAUGAGAUUCUUGCCCUUGUAAGGGCAAGGGAGUAGUCGGAGACUCAUUACUGUUUUCAUGAGUAACAGCUUUGGCAUUGUAACACUGCUUGCAGGUAAUCAAAAAUUCAACAUCCUCAUUCAUAUAACUUUUUGAACUUACAGUACAGUCUUUAUGACAAUAACCUUGGCAACCACUGCACUUGACAGUAUUCCUGAUUAAAACAUCAUGUUGACAAGAUGCACAAGAGCAUCUCUCCAACUUAUCUCUCUUAUAAGCAAGAUAUAAAAAUAUAUCCCUGCGAGAAGCUUUCAAUUGCCGUCUCUGUAACUCAGAUAGUUCAUUCAAAGAUUUAUUAGGUGAUGGCAAAAACACCUUGUCAACCUUUUCUUCAUACUCUUUGAUCAAAUAUAGAGGAACAUGUGUUUCGAAAAACCAAUAUUUCUCCUUUCCAUCUGCACUUUGCUCUAUUUCAAUUAUAUUCU
rnacentral:misc_RNA from 1 species